rnacentral:rRNA from 1 species
UCAAGAAACUUCCACAAUGGGCGAAAGCCUGAUGGAGCGACGUCGCGUGGUGGACGAAGUGCUUCGGCACGUAAACAUCUUUUAUGUGGGAUGAAAUUAUUGACAGUACCACAUGAAUAAGGGGCUCCUAACUCUGUGCCAGCAGGAGCGGUAAUACAGAGGCCCCAAGCGUUAUCCGGAAUCACUGGGCGUAAAGGGUGUCGAGGCGGUUGUAUUAGUCGUUCGUAAAAUCUACGAGCUUAACUUGUAGGCGGCGAACGAAACGGUACGACUUGAGGUUUGGAGAGGUGCGUGGAACUCACGGUGUAGGGGUGAAAUCCGUUGAUAUCGUGGGGAACACCAAAGGCGAAGGCAGCGCACUGGCCAAAAUCUGACGCUCACACACGAAAGCUAGGGUAGCGAAGAGGAUUAGAUACCCCCGUAGUCCCUGAGCGGGCUGGCAAGGCGCAU